rnacentral:rRNA from 1 species
GGCCGCGAAAUUCGCCCUUAGAGUUUGAUCCUGGCUCAGAACGAACGCUGGCGGCAGGCCUAACACAUGCAAGUCGAACGAAGCCUUCGGGCUUAGUGGCGGACGGGUGAGUAACGCGUGGGAACGUGCCCUUCUCUACGGAAUAGUCCUGGGAAACUGGGUUUAAUACCGUAUACGCCCUUCGGGGGAAAGAAUUUCGGGGAAGGAUCGGCCCGCGUUGGAUUAGGUAGUUGGUGGGGUAAUGGCCUACCAAGCCGACGAUCCAUAGCUGGUUUGAGAGGAUGAUCAGCCACACUGGGACUGAGACACGGCCCAGACUCCUACGGGAGGCAGCAGUGGGGAAUCUUAGACAAUGGGGGCAACCCUGAUCUAGCCAUGCCGCGUGAGUGACGAAGGCCCUAGGGUCGUAAAGCUCUUUCGCCAGGGAUGAUAAUGACAGUACCUGGUAAAGAAACCCCGGCUAACUCCGUGCCAGCAGCCGCGGUAAUACGGAGGGGGUUAGCGUUGUUCGGAAUUACUGGGCGUAAAGCGCGCGUAGGCGGACUAUUAAGUCAGANGUGAAAUCCCGGGGCUCAACCCCGGAACUGCCUUUGAUACUGGUAGUCUUGAGUUC